rnacentral:tRNA from 1 species
AUUCUUUCAAAAAAUUUAAUUUCGACUUAAAUAAAGAUUAUUUUAUUAAUCAAAGAAUA